UUUUUUUUUUUUUUUUUUUUUUUUAAAAUAAAAUAAAACUAAAUUUAAUACUUUACAUUUCCCUUCACCUGUCUCAACCUAUACAUGAAACAUUUGUUCUGUCCAAAAAAAGAAGAAAAACGUGAAAAAGCCCCUUACAGAUAAGGCAACUUCUUAAGAGAAAUAGGCAAUU
rnacentral:ribozyme from 14 species